GGAUUAGAUACCCUGGUAGUCCACGCCGUAAACGAUGUCUACUUGAAGGUUGUGGCCUUGAGCCGUGGCUUUCGGAGCUAACGCGUUAAGUAGACCGCCUGGGGAGUACGGUCGCAAGAUUAAAACUCAAAUGAAUUGACGGGGGCCCGCACAAGCGGUGGAGCAUGUGGUUUAAUUCGAUGCAACGCGAAGAACCUUACCUACUCUUGACAUCCAGAGAAUUCGCUAGAGAUAGCUUAGUGCCUUCGGGAACUCUGAGACAGGUGCUGCAUGGCUGUCGUCAGCUCGUGCCG
rnacentral:rRNA from 1 species